UACGUAGGGUGCGAGCGUUGUCCGGAAUUACUGGGCGUAAAGGGCUCGUAGGCGGCCAACUAAGUCAGACGUGAAAUCCCUCGGCUUAACCGGGGAACUGCCUCUGAUACUGGAUGGCUUGAGAUUGGGAGAGGGAUGCGGAAUUCCAGGUGUAGCGGUGAAAUGCGUAGAUAUCUGGAGGAACACCGGUGGCGAAGGCGGCAUCCUGGACCAACACUGACGCUGAGGAGCGAAAGCCAGGGGAGCAAACGGG
rnacentral:rRNA from 1 species